AAACAACGAUUAAUGCAACGAGAAUAAUCAUUCCAUUGUAGAAUCUAUCCUAUGAAUUUACCAAUGGUGUUCGAUAUUCAGUAUUCACGCGGUAUGUUCGAAACGGAUCAUACGUAUAAUAAGAAAAACGAUCAAAAGCACCUUCUCCAUUCCAAUCCAUUGAAAUCGUUCGAUAAAACUUCUUUAUUUUUUAUUAUUAUUUUUUUUUUGAAUCGUCAUGAAUGAAUCGAACAUUCAUAAGCAAAAGGAAUUUCACACGCGACACGUUUCGUAACCAAGAUUUGCUUUUACCGUUUCACCAUCGAAUGUAUAAUGGCGCCGUAAAGCUCGACCAAUUUGCCCACCAUUAUAUUAUUUCUCUCAUGAGCAUAUAUGCAAGUAAUAUAUAUUCUACUAUAUGAGCGUGCAUGUAUACGAAUAUAGGAUGUUUCAGAAUUAAAGAAUCAAACAUAAAAUGUUUCAAAAAUGAAAAAUCAAUUUUUUUGAUUAUCAAUUUAAGAUUAUCGAAGAGGUUAAAAAAUUUUUGAUUUAUUUCAAAUUUUUUCAUCAUCGUAUAAUAAUAAUUCUUAUUUUAUGUAGUUCUUGGAUACUGGAUUAUUGGAAAUGGGAAAAAAAGGAUAAAGAAAAAAAGAAGAAAAGAAAGAAGCAUUAACGAUAAUGCUAUCUAGAAACUCCGUGUUUUGAAUGCUAUGACAUUGAAGGCGUUAUAAAUCAAGGGAAAUAACCAGCGAUAUCACGAAACUCCCUCGUUGCGAUUCCAGAGAAUUACAUGGAGUGUUUGAUAAUGAUUGAAAUGUUCGUUGAUUUCCUGUCGUGUCCGACUGGUCUUUCGAAAGGUGUGCUCGUGGCUGGGAUAUUGAUCAUGCAUAGAAUUAGGUUUUUUACAAUGUGUAUUUAGUUUGAAUGAAGUUGUAUUUAUUGAGAUAUUUAAA